AGUGAACGCUGGCGGUAGGCCUAACACAUGCAAGUCGAACGGCCGCACAGUAAGAUCUUGCUCUUACGGGUGGCGAGUGGCGGACGGGUGAGGAAUACAUCGGCAUCUACUUUUUCUUGGGUGACAUCGUAGGGAAACUUACGCUAAUACAGCAUACGACCUACGGGUGAAUGCAGGGGAUCUUCGGACUUUGCGCGAUUGAAUGAGCCGAUGUCGGAUUAGCUAGUUGGCGGGGUAAAGGCCCACCAAGGCGACGAUCCGUAGCUGGUCUGAGAGGAUGAUCAGCCACACUGGAACUGAGACACGGUCCAGACUCCUACGGGAGGCAGCAGUGGGGAAUAUUGGACAAUGGGCGCAAGCCUGAUCCAGCCAUACCGCGUGGGUGAAGAAGGCCUUCGGGUUGUAAAGCCCUUUUGUUGGGAAAGAAAAGCAGCAGGUUAAUACCCCGCUGUUCUGACGGUACCCAAAGAAUAAGCACCGGCUAACUUCGUG
rnacentral:rRNA from 1 species